GUUUUAUUAGUAUAUUAGUAUGGUUGUUUUCCAAACAAUUGGUUUAAAUAUAAUGAUUUAAAUAAAAUA